AACGUAGCGAAAUGCGAUACUUGGUGUGAAUUGCAGAAUCCCGUGAACCAUCGAGUCUUUGAACGCAAGUUGCGCCCGAAGCCUUCGGGCCGAGGGCACGUCUGCCUGGGUGUCAUGCAUC
rnacentral:rRNA from 1 species